rnacentral:rRNA from 1 species
UACGUAGGGGGCUAGCGUUGCUCGGAAUCACUGGGCGUAAAGCGCACGUAGGCGGAUCUUUAAGUCAGGGGUGAAAUCCUGGAGCUCAACUCCAGAACUGCCUUUGAUACUGGGGAUCUUGAGUCCGGAAGAGGUGAGUGGAACUCCGAGUGUAGAGGUGAAAUUCGUAGAUAUUCGGAAGAACACCAGUGGCGAAGGCGGCUCACUGGUCCGGUACUGACGCUGAGGUGCGAAAGCGUGGGGAGCAAACAGG